AUUGGUUGGCCUUUCAAGAAAUAGCUGCUAACUGGUUGCAAACAUACUGAAGCAGCCCUAAGCGAUUUUAUUUGGCAGGAUCUUAUUCCUCAUAGAACUGCACAUCAAUGCCUCUUUCUCGAUUUCUGUAGCAUGCUUUGUUAUUCAGUGAUGCACAGUGCACACAUUAUGUUGAUACUGCACAACAUGCUUUCGUGCUUAAAACUGAAUAACUGAACCCGUUCUGUGGCGUUUUCGUCCAUUUUGAUAUUUGCUUGCCUUUUCCAAAAUGUCACUGAACAGGAAAGAUUUUUUAUUUUUUUACAUUGUCAAUGUAAACAAAUCUGCUUUUGAGUCUAAUCUAAUUCUUGUCAAUAUUUCAAAUACUACAAACAUAAACAGCACCAUCCGGAUACUGAGACAAAAUAGUGAGUAUGUUCAAAACAACAUCAUAAAAUACCAGGUUUUAUUUUCUGACCUUAAAUGCCUUGCAUAUCUAUUAAAGAACCUGGCAUAUCUAUAAAUGUAGAAUCCUAUGUCUUGUGUGUCUAACAGACAAUUCCAUAACAAUAAACUAAGUGAAGAUGAAUGAACCUCACUUCUAAAAGAGGAUUACAGCUAUCUGUGCUCGCUCAAAGCUGUGAGUAGAAAUCAUCUUUAUCGCCCAGACAGCUUAACUGGGGCUUCCUUCCCCCUGCAUUUUUCACCCACUGUCCUUUAAGUCUGAUAUACUGAGUACAGUGGGGGCUCAAUCUCAUUUUUAGAUAGAUCUGUAUUCAUGUAAGCCCCAGGAUUUGUGCUGAAGGAACUAUUGUCUUUCUGUUCGAUUGCUCAAUUCCAGCAAUCAAAAAGCAUGUCUGUUUAAGAGAUAAAUAUCCAGCCAUCAGCAUUCAAAAAGUGUUCCUCAAGUCAUUUGUCAAAAUGGGCAUAAAUGAGCAAAAAUUGCCUAGAAUUCAAUUUUAAGGGGUUUUCCGUUUUACAUGCAAUUUUUGUUCAUUUUGCCAGCAUUAUUAUUUUGAAUUAUUUCAAUUAUUAUAAUAUUAGAAUGUAGGGUUACACACAAUUCAGAAUUUAAUCAUUUGCUUCUUUGUUAGUUGCAAUUUGAAUGUAACUGUCCACGUGAAGUUGAAAUGGAAUUUGAACUGGAAUGAAAGAAAGGAGAAUUUACUGAAUUAUAAAUAAACAAACAAAUAAUGUUUUUCUAAGUAGGUGUUUAAAGGUAGCUAUACACGUAUUUUUCGGUUCGCCAUAUGUAGUUUUGCUAAAUCACUGCAUGUGCGGAAUUUCAGACUGAUUUCUGAUUUUAAACUAAGCCUACCGUUUAUAUCGAUACAUUUUAAUAUUGUGAACACAGAGGACUCAAAGUGAGCUGCUGCAGCCUGGAUCAGUGCACGAUCCACGGCUCAUCCUGACGGCGUAUCAACGUUUCGCAAACUUCAAUGAAGGUGCGUCGGCGCGCGCAUGCGCGUCACAACGGAGCUCAUUGCAAUACGACCACGAUGAAUGUAAAGGGAUCCUCCGGAUUGCUCUUCACAUCCUCAUGGCUGCUCUUCGCCUCCUCUUUCCUGGCACUGCAAGGUGAGUUGCUCUUGGGAAGCUCCUCGCUGGCUUGGAGGUGCUGGAUGAUGUUUUGCUGG